GACGAACGCUGGCGGCGUGCUUAACACAUGCAAGUCGAACGGUGAAGCGCCUUCCUUUUUGGUGGGUGUGGAUGAGUGGCGAACGGGUGAGUAACACGUGAGUAACCUGCCCCCUUCUUCUGGAUAACCGCAUGAAAGUGUGGCUAAUACGGGAUAUUCUGGGUCUGUCGCAUGAUGGGUCUGGGAAAGAUAUUGUUUCGGUGGGGGAUGGGCUCGCGGCCUAUCAGCUUGUUGGUGGGGUGAUGGCCUACCAAGGCGGUGACGGGUAGCCGGCCUGGGAGGGUGGACGGUCACACAGGGACUGAGACACGGCCGAGACUCAGACGGGAGGCAGCAGUGGGGAAUAGUGCACAAUGGGCGCAAGCCUGAUGCAGCGACGCCGCGGGAGGGAUGGAGGCCUUCGGGUUGUGAACCUCUUUCGCCAGUGAAGCAGGCCUGCCUCGUUUGUGGGUGGGUUGACGGUAGCUGGAUAAGAAGCGCCGGCUAACCACGUG
rnacentral:rRNA from 1 species